GAUGAACGCUAGCGGCAGGCUUAAUACAUGCAAGUCGAGGGGCAGCAUGAUUGUAGCAAUACAAUUGAUGGCGACCGGCAAACGGGUGCGGAACACGUACACAACCUUCCAAUAAGUGGGGAAUAGCACAGAGAAAUUUGGAUUAAUACCCCGUAACAUAACGAUGUGGCAUCACAUUGUUAUUAUAGAUUUUUCGCUUAUUGAUGGGUGUGCGGCUGAUUAGAUAGUUGGCGGGGUAACGGCCCACCAAGUCUACGAUCAGUAGCUGAUGUGAGAGCAUGACCAGCCACACGGGCACGGAGACACGGGCCCGACUCCUACGGGAGGCAGCAGUAAGGAAUAUUGGACAAUGGACGCAAGUCUGAUCCAGCCAUGCCGCGUGAAGGAUUAAGGUCCUCUGGAUUGUAAACUUCUUUUAUAAGGGACGAAAAAAGGCUUUUCUAAGUCGUCUGACGGUACCUUAUGAAUAAGCACCGGCUAACUUCGUGCCAGCCGCCGCAGUAAAAC
rnacentral:rRNA from 1 species